rnacentral:rRNA from 1 species
UACGGAGGGUGCGAGCGUUAAUCGGAAUUACUGGGCGUAAAGGGCGCGUAGGCGGCCGAUCAAGUCAGAUGUGAAAGCCCACGGCUUAACCGUGUGAAGUGCAUCUGAAACUGGUCGGCUUGAGUAUCGGAGAGGAAAGUGGAAUUCCCGGUGUAGAGGUGAAAUUCGUAGAUAUCGGGAGGAACACCAGUGGCGAAGGCGGCUCUCUGGGCAGAUACCGACGCUGAGACGCGAAAGCGUGGGAAGCAAACAGGAUUAGAAACCCGGGUAGU